rnacentral:rRNA from 1 species
AUUGAACGCUGGCGGCAGGUCUAACACAUGCAAGUCGAGCGGAUGAAGGGAGCUUGCUCCUGGAUUCAGCGGCGGACGGGUGAGUAAUGCCUAGGAAUCUGCCUGGUAGUGGGGGAUAACGUCCGGAAACGGGCGCUAAUACCGCAUACGUCCUGAGGGAGAAAGUGGGGGAUCUUCGGACCUCACGCUAUCAGAUGAGCCUAGGUCGGAUUAGCUAGUUGGUGGGGUAAAGGCCUACCAAGGCGACGAUCCGUAACUGGUCUGAGAGGAUGAUCAGUCACACUGGAACUGAGACACGGUCCAGACCCCUACGGGAGGCAGCAGUGGGGAAUAUUGGACAAUGGGCGAAAGCCUGAUCCAGCCAUGCCGCGUGUGUGAAGAAGGUCUUCGGAUUGUAAAGCACUUUAAGUUGGGAGGAAGGGCAGUAAGUUAAUACCUUGCUGUUUUGACGUUACCAACAGAAUAAGCACCGGCUAACUUCGUG